rnacentral:rRNA from 1 species
ACACAUGCAGUCGAGCGGAUGACAGGAGCUUGCUCCUGAAUUCAGCGGCGGACGGGUGAGUAAUGCCUAGGAAUCUGCCUGGUAGUGGGGGACAACGUUUCGAAAGGAACGCUAAUACCGCAUACGUCCUACGGGAGAAAGCAGGGGACCUUCGGGCCUUGCGCUAUCAGAUGAGCCUAGGUCGGAUUAGCUAGUUGGUGAGGUAAUGGCUCACCAAGGCGACGAUCCGUAACUGGUCUGAGAGGAUGAUCAGUCACACUGGAACUGAGACACGGUCCAGACUCCUACGGGAGGCAGCAGUGGGGAAUAUUGGACAAUGGGCGAAAGCCUGAUCCAGCCAUGCCGCGUGUGUGAAGAAGGUCUUCGGAUUGUAAAGCACUUUAAGUUGGGAGGAAGGGCAUUAACCUAAUACGUUAGUGUUUUGACGUUACCGACAGAAUAAGCACCGGCUAACUCUGUGCCAGCAGCCGCGGUAAUACAGAGGGUGCAAGCGUUAAUCGGAAUUACUGGGCGUAAAGCGCGCGUAGGUGGUUUGUUAAGUUGGAUGUGAAAUCCCCGGGCUCAACCUGGGAACUGCAUUCAAAACUGACAAGCUAGAGUAUGGUAGAGGGUGGUGGAAUUUCCUGUGUAGCGGUGAAAUGCGUAGAUAUAGGAAGGAACACCAGUGGCGAA